UACGUAGGGUGCAAGCGUUAAUCGGAAUUACUGGGCGUAAAGCGUGCGCAGGCGGUUUUGUAAGUCUGUCGUGAAAUCCCCGGGCUCAACCUGGGAACUGCAUUUGUGACUGCAUAGCUAGAGUACGGUAGAGGGGGAUGGAAUUCCGCGUGUAGCAGUGAAAUGCGUAGAUAUGCGGAGGAACACCGAUGGCGAAGGCAAUCCCCUGGACCUGUACUGACGCUCAUGCACGAAAGCGUGGGGAGCAAACAGG
rnacentral:rRNA from 1 species